CCUACGGGAGGCAGCAGUGGGGAAUAUUGCACAAUGGGGGAAACCCUGAUGCAGCGACGCCGCGUGAGUGAAGAAGUAAUUCGUUACGUAAAGCUCUAUCAGCAGGGAAGAAAUACUGACCUUACGGUCAGCAGACGGUACCUGAGUAAGAAGCCGCGGCUAACUACGUGCCAGCAGCCGCGGUAAUACGUAGGGGGCAAGCGUUAUCCGGAUUUACUGGGUGUAAAGGGAGCGUAGACGGUGCACCAAGUCUGGUGUGAAAUGCCGCAGCUUAACUGCGGAACUGCUGUGGAAACUGGCGAACUAGAGUUCGGGAGGGGUAAGCGGAAUUCCUAGUGUAGCGGUGAAAUGCGUAGAUAUUAGGAGGAACACCGGUGGCGAAGGCGGCUUACUGGAGCGUAACUGACGUUGAGGCUCGAAAGCGUGGGGAGCAAACAGGAUUAGAUACCCUUGUAGUC
rnacentral:rRNA from 1 species